CCUACGGGAGGCAGCAGUAGGGAAUUUUCGUCAAUGGGCGCAAGCCUGAACGAGCGAUGCCGCGUGAGUGAAGAAGGCCUUCGGGUCGUAAAGCUCCGUUUCGGGGGAAAAAAGGCAGCAUCAGGAAAUGGGUGCUGACUGAUGGUGCCCCGCCAGAAAGUCACGGCUAAAUACGUGCCAGCAGCCGAGGUAAUACGUAGGUGGCGUGCGUUAGCCGGAAUGAUUGGGCGUAAAGGGUGCGCAGGCGGUCCUGCAAGUCUGGAGUGAAACGCAUGGGCUCAACUCAUGCAUUGCUUUGUAAACUGGAGGACUUGAGAGGAGGAGAGGGCGGUGGAACUCGAUGUGUAGCGGUAAAAUGCGUAGAUAUAUGGAAGAACACCAGGGGCGAAGGCGGCCGCCUGGCCUGUUGCUGACGCUGAGGCACGAAAGCGUGGGGAGCAAAUAGGAUUAGAUACCCUAGUAGUC
rnacentral:rRNA from 1 species